rnacentral:rRNA from 1 species
GACGAACGCUGGCGGCGUGCUUAACACAUGCAAGUCGAACGGUGAAGCUCCAGCUUGCUGGAGUGGAUCAGUGGCGAACGGGUGAGUAACACGUGAGCAACCUGCCCCUGACUCUGGAAUAAGCGCUGGAAACGGCGUCUAAUACUGGAUACGAGAAGGGUCCGCAUGGGCACUUUCUGGAAAGUUUUUCGGUUGGGGAUGGGCUCGCGGCCUAUCAGCUUGUUGGUGAGGUAAUGGCUCACCAAGGUGACGACGGGUAGCCGGCCUGAGAGGGCGACCGGCCACACUGGGACUGAGACACGGCCCAGACUCCUACGGGAGGCAGCAGUGGGGAAUAUUGCACAAUGGGCGAAAGCCUGAUGCAGCGACGCCGCGUGAGGGAUGACGGCCUUCGGGUUGUAAACCUCUUUCAGCAGGGAAGAAGCGAAAGUGACGGUACCUGCAGAAGAAGCACCGGCUAACUACGUG